CUGUGUUUGGUUUUACCAUCCACCCUUGUCAUUUGCACUGUCGUUUCGGCGGUGGUCCCUAGUUCUAGGGCCCCGCCGGCAGUAACUCUUUAGUAUCUGAAGUCUGAAUCCAAAAAAUCAUACA
rnacentral:misc_RNA from 1 species